CAGCCCCCAGCAUUACCACAAGUUGUCUGUCCUUGGGCAAGUGGGGCUUACAGGUUAGAUGAAUUUUGGUUUUUAGAUCUCUCAAGCAUAGUGAUUAAAACUUAAAAUAUAAAAUCCACAACAUCUUUCUUUCUCUCCCUGCUCUUGCCCCUUCAUCAGGACCAGUUCCCACCAUCACUGUCCCUCCUUGUAAGUCUUCAGUGUAGAACACCUUGAGGAACAAGGAGCCCCCGGUCGUAUGUGUUUUACAUGCUCCCUGCAGCUCACUGUUUCCACUUCCGCUGUCCAUUUCCUACUGCCUGGAAGCAAGGGCAGGUUAUAGGCCUCUGACAGAGGACCUGGCCCACUGUAGAGAAGAAGCCUGUGUGAUGACAGCGACAGCGUGUAACAUCUCAGGCACAGAACACUUAGUGAGUGGUAACUGGCUGUACCCACGCCACGCAAGUGCACUGAACAACCUCGGGACACUGACAAAGGACACGGCAGAGGCAAAGCUGUACUACCAGAGGGCGCUGCAACUCCAUCCUCAGCACAACCGUGCGCUUUUCAACCUGGGGAAUCUCCUGAAGGCUCACACUCCGCUGGGAGACAAAGACAUGCAGCAUCAGAAGAUGCCAGAAUUUCCUCAGGGAGGAAGAACACCAAGCUCGUCGGUCCGAUUCAGUUGGAUGCUAAGGAAAACGAGGCAUCAAAUAUUGAUAGAAUGCUCCCCAGAAAUGUCCUGUGAUCGCUUGAAGCUGAUCGUUCACUGUUCUGUAAAGAAAACAACAGUGGUGAGAGUGAGGAGGCAGAGCCCUCGGGGUGUCUUCAUCUUUGGAGCUGCAGUGUCUUGAGUAGUUUCUUAGCAAAGUCAGCAGGAGGUGACAGAGCCACAGACUGUCAGACUUGUCAGACCCCAGCUUCCCAGGGAUGUCACAUCCCUGAGUCUCCAGGUCUCCACUUUCCUCAGGCUGCCAGACUUGUCAGUCCCCAGCUCCCCAGAGUGUCAAAUCCAUGAGUCCUCAGCUUCCCAGUGCUGUCACAGACAUACAUCCCCGGCUCCCCAGGGCUGUACUAGUGAACAGUCACUGUGUGACUGCCUGCUUCAUGGGUUAGAAGGAACACAUUUCUGCAUAGGGUCCAGACCUGUGGCUGUGUCAGGGAGCUUUUUCUAAUGUUAGAGGAACCCACUGUAUACGUCCUGUACAUUAAAUACGUCUGGCUGCUGUGGACCGUCCUCUAAGUCACCAAACUCCAGUAGUGUCGAGGGAGCCAAGCCCCCACAGGGUUCACAAUGGUCUCUGCAGUUUUCCUACAAAUAUGAAAAAGUAACUUGUCUUUCACUCUCAUUCUUUUGUGAAUUUGCAGUAGUUUUCGGUGGUCAUAUGAUAUAGCCACAAUUCAGAAACGGCUGUUAAAAUGAUAGUUCCCCUUUCCACCUUUCAUCCCGUCAGGUCACAGUUUCUUCAUGCUUGAACUACCAAUAACAGGAAACACUUAAAAACACACCGUCACAAAAGCAGGUGUGAGAAGCCAGGUAUCUUCUACUAGGUCAAACAUUAAAGAGAUGGGUAAAUGGAGCCAGGAGACAGCUCAGUAACUAGCAUGUGUGUGGCUCUUAAUUCUGUCCUCAGAAUGCCCAUAACCAAAAUAAUCUAGUAAGUAUCUCAAUUAAUAUCACUGUCGUAUCUUCUUUUGCUUUGGAAGGUCUUUUUAUAUAGACACAUUGUUUAUGUUAGAGCUUAUUGUCAAUUCUCUCCUUCUAUGAAAGUUCGGGAGAUUGAACUCAGGUUGUCAGGCUUGGCAGCUGACACCUUAACCUACGGAGCCUCUCUCACAGGUCCCAGGGAGCAGCAAUUCUUGAUGGACGUGCCCUACUUCCUAUAGCAGCUGCAACUGUCGAUGCACCCUGGAUAAAUGAACAAAUGCCCUCUAAUACUUUCUAGAUGUUGGUUGGAAUCUGAUGUAGUAUACAUUCUUCCUGUCCUUUAACACACACACACACACACACACACACACACACACACACA
ensembl:lincRNA